AUUGAACGCUGGCGGCAGGCCUAACACAUGCAAGUCGAGCGGAGCGGCGGACGGGUGAGUAAUGCCUAGGAAUCUGCCUGUUAGUGGUGGAUAACGUCCAGAAACGGGAGCUAAUACCACUUCCUAUCACAUGAGCCUAGGUCGGAUUAGCUAGUGGGUGGGGUAAAGGCCUACCAAGGCGACGAUCCGUAACUGGUCUGAGAGGAUGAUCAGUCACACUGGAACUGAGACACGGUCCAGACUCCUACGGGAGGCAGCAGUGGGGAAUAUUGGACAAUGGGCGAAAGCCUGAUCCAGCCAUGCCGCGUGUGUGAAGAAGGUCUUCGGAUUGUAAAGCACUUUAAGUUGGGAGGCGUUACCAACAGAAGAAGCACCGGCUAACUCCGUGCCAGCAGCCGCGGUAAUUC
rnacentral:rRNA from 1 species